rnacentral:rRNA from 1 species
AAAUUGAAGAGUUUGAUCAUGGCUCAGAUUGAACGCUGGCGGCAGGCCUAACAAAUGCAAGUCGAGCGGAAACGAGUUAUCAGAACCUUCGGGGAACGAUAACGGCGUCGAGCGGCGGACGGGUG